UUAUUUUUUUGUUCCUCUUGGUUCCUCUACAAUUUUGUUCUAUCAUUUU
rnacentral:sRNA from 1 species